rnacentral:lncRNA from 1 species
ACCAUAGAUAUGAAUUAGCAACAAAGAGAAGAUAUAUAAUCAAAAGAUGAUUGAUACCAUUACAAAGAGUCGAUAUAUAAUUAAAAGAUGAUUGAUACCAUAGUUGUUUCAAUACAUAUUCCAUAAUAUAAAAGUCAACUAGUUAACAUCAUUACAUGGCCCAAGAGACAGAUCCUAGAAAGAACAACAGACAUGACUAACAACAAGGAUCUAGUAGAGCUCAUGACUAGAUGGAUCAGAAUCAGAUGUAUCAGAGAUGGGGUGGGGAGAUGAUGGAUCAUGACCAAGAGCUCGUCCUCUACCCCGUCUGCCUCUACCACGAGUGGAGGUGCUGGCACGAGUAGGUGGGUGAGAUGAUCCUGAAGGCUGAGAGGCCAUAGACUGGAC